UACGUAGGUGGCAAGCGUUGUCCGGAUUUACUGGGCGUAAGAGCGCGCAGGCGGUCGGAUAAGUCGAAUGUGAAAGCCCCCGGCUCAACUGGGGAGGGUCAUUCGAUACUGUUCGACUCGAAGGCAGGAGAGGGAAGCGGAAUUCCCGGUGUAGUGGUGAAAUGCGUAGGAUAUCGGGAGGAACACCAGUGGCGAAGGCGGCUUUCUGGCCUGUUCGU
rnacentral:rRNA from 1 species